AGGGGGCAACCCCUCGAGAGUGGCGAACGGGUGAGUAAUAUAUCGGAGCGUGCCCAGUCGUGGGGGAUAACGUAGCGAAAGUUACGCUAAUACCGCAUACGAUCUAAGGAUGAAAGCGGGGGAUCGCAAGACCUCGCGCGAUUGGAGCGGCCGAUAUCAGAUUAGGUAGUUGGUGGGGUAAAGGCUCACCAAGCCAACGAUCUGUAGCUGGUCUGAGAGGACGACCAGCCACACUGGAACUGAGACACGGUCCAGACUCCUACGGGAGGCAGCAGUGGGGAAUUUUGGACAAUGGGCGCAAGCCUGAUCCAGCCAUGCCGCGUGCAGGAUGAAGGCCUUCGGGUUGUAAACUGCUUUUGUACGGAACGAAAAAGUUCUCUCUAAUACAGGGGGCGAAUGACGGUACCGUAAGAAUAAGCACCGGCUAACUACGUGCCAGCAGCCGCGGUAAUACGUAGGGUGCGAGCGUUAAUCGGAAUUACUGGGCGUAAAGCGUGCGCAGGCGGUUAUAUAAGACAGAUGUGAAAUCCCCGGGCUCAACCUGGGAACUGCAUUAGUGACUGUAUAGCUAGAGUGCGGCAGAGGGGGAUGGAAUUCCGCGUGUAGCAGUGAAAUGCGUAGAUAUGCGGAGGAACACCGAUGGCGAAGGCAAUCCCCUGGGCCUGCACUGACGCUCAUGCACGAAAGCGUGGGGAGCAAACAGGAUUAGAUACCCUGGUAGUCCACGCCCUAAACGAUGUCAACUGGUUGUUGGGUCUUCACUGACUCAGUAACGAAGCUAACGCGUGAAGUUGACCGCCUGGGGGAGUACGGCCGCAAGGUUAAAACUCAAAGGAAUUGACGGGGACCCGCACAAGCGGUGGAUGAUGUGGUUUAAUUCGAUGCAACGCGAAGAACCUUACCUACCCUUGACAUGUA
rnacentral:rRNA from 1 species